rnacentral:sRNA from 1 species
GGGGGCAGCCGACUCUAAGGUGCAUGUGCACGACCUGACAGUAAAGGAGACCAUCCACAUGUUUGGAGACCACACAAACCGGGUGAAGCGCAUCGCCACAGCGCCCAUGUGGCCCAACACAUUCUGGAGUGCUGCUGAGGAUGGGCUUAUCCGCCAGUAUGACCUUCGAGAGAACAGCAAACACUCGGAGGUGCUGAUUGACCUGACAGAGUACUGUGGCCAGCUGGUGGAGGCCAAGUGCCUCACUGUCAACCCCCAGGACAACAACUGCCUGGCAGUUGGGGCCAGCGGGCCCUUCGUGAGGCUCUAUGACAUCCGCAUGAUCCACAACCACAGAAAGAGCAUGAAGCAGAGCCCUUCAGCGGGUGUGCACACCUUCUGUGACCGGCAGAAACCCCUUCCGGAUGGUGCAGCCCAGUAUUACGUAGCAGGUCACCUGCCAGUGAAGCUUCCUGACUACAACAACCGUUUGAGAGUGCUGGUUGCCACCUAUGUGACCUUCAGCCCCAAUGGCACAGAGCUACUAGUCAACAUGGGGGGGGAACAGGUCUAUUUGUUUGACUUGACUUACAAGCAGCGGCCGUACACCUUCCUCUUGCCUAGAAAAUGCCACUCCUCGGGGGAAGUCCAGAAUGGCAAGAUGUCCACCAACGGUGUGUCCAACGGUGUGUCCAAUGGCCUGCACCUUCAUAGCAAUGGCUUCCGGCUGCCGGAGAGUAGGGGACAUGUCAGCCCCCAAGUAGAGCUACCACCAUACCUGGAGCGUGUGAAACAGCAAGCCAAUGAGGCUUUUGCCUGCCAGCAGUGGACCCAAGCCAUUCAGCUUUACAGCAAGGCUGUGCAGAGGGCCCCUCACAAUGCCAUGCUUUAUGGAAACCGAGCAGCAGCCUACAUGAAGCGCAAGUGGGAUGGUGACCACUAUGAUGCCCUGAGGGACUGCCUCAAGGCCAUCUCCCUAAACCCAUGCCACCUGAAGGCACACUUUCGCCUGGCCCGCUGCCUCUUUGAGCUCAAGUAUGUGGCUGAAGCCCUGGAGUGCCUGGACGACUUCAAAGGGAAAUUUCCGGAGCAGGCCCACAGCAGCGCUUGUGAUGCAUUGGGCCGCGACAUCACAGCUGCCCUCUUCUCUAAAAAUGAUGGUGAGGAGAAGAAGGGACCUGGUGGCGGCGCCCCAGUCCGCCUCCGCAGCACGAGCCGCAAGGACUCCAUCUCAGAGGAUGAAAUGGUGCUGCGGGAGCGAAGCUACGACUAUCAGUUCCGCUACUGCGGCCACUGCAACACCACCACGGAUAUCAAAGAGGCCAAUUUCUUUGGCAGGUCCGAGGCCCUGAAGAGGAGGGUGCAGCCCAGUUGGCAGCGGGAGGUUGAGUGGGGAGUGUUGGGGCAUAAUGGUUUCAGAGAAGAAUCUCAAAUCCCUGCUCUGCCUCUGUACCCUUGGGCAAAUGGCUUCACCUUUGUCAGCCUCUAAAGUUUUUUAAUCUAUGAAAUGACCAACCUGCCAUGCCCAUUUAUGAGGCCAUAACAAGGACUAAUAAGAUAACCCAAGUAGAGCCUCCAGCGCAGUGCCUGAACUACUCCUUCAUCCCCCACCUCCUUCUCCCUCUGUCUGCAUGUGCCAGAGCUUGGUUUCUUUAUCUGCAUUCAAGGAACCUCCCUCUGCUUGAGAGUAUGAGGCAGCAGCCCUCCAAGGCUGGGAAUCUUGGCACAUCUCUUUUGUGCUCAAAACUGUGCCCUGUGUACUAAGGGACAAACUCUGUGUUUCAGACACCAUCAUCCCCACCCCUCAUUUGUAGAUGUACUUUCUUUGGGUAGGUGAGACACAUGAACAUGAAUCAAGAAUCUCUCCAUAGGCCAGGCACAGUGACUCAUGCCUGUAAUCCCAGCACUUGGGGAGGCUGAAGCAGGAGGAUCGCUUGAGCCCAGGAGUUUGAGACCAGCCUGGACAGCAUAGACCCCCAUCUCUACAAAAAAUGUUUUAAAUUACCUGGGUGUGGUGACAUGCACCUGUAGUCCCAGCUAUUCAGGAGGUUGACAUUGGAGGACCAGUUAAGGCCACAGUGAGCCAUGAUCAUGCCACUGUACUCCAGCUUGGGUGACAGAAUGAGACCCUGUCUCUAAGAAAAAAAAAUCCAUCAAGAUGCCCUCUAAAUGUCAGUGGUGUGUGAGGGGCACGGGGAGUCUGGAUGCCAGAAGCCUGGAACUGCUCAGGGGAGGCUUAAAACAGGGUAUUUUAGAGACCCAAGAGAUGAUGUAAGAUGAUCCUGGCCCAAGGAGAUAAUAAUGAACUAUAGGAGAGACUGUCUUGGAGAAAUCCAGGUAGUCGCUGGCCCUAGGUUUAAGAGAACAGUGACCAGGGCUAUAUACCUGGAGGAAUUCUGGGUCAAGUGCACACCCCAGCGUGUGGGGGACUGAGUGGCUGCAGACUUCCUUGCUCCCCCUUUACCUAGGCCAUGCAGCCUCUACUUGAGGCUGUAGGGCAGUACCCCACCUGACCUCCCUGCCCUUUGCCCCCCGCCAGCAACGCUCAGUAUAUCGUCAGUGGCUCUGACGAUGGCUCCUUCUUCAUCUGGGAAAAGGAGACCACCAACCUGGUCCGUGUGCUCCAAGGGGAUGAGUCCAUUGUCAACUGCCUGCAGCCACACCCCAGCUACUGCUUCCUGGCCACCAGUGGCAUCGAUCCUGUUGUGCGGCUCUGGAACCCCCGACCAGAGAGUGAAGACCUCACAGGCCGAGUCGUGGAAGAUAUGGAGGGUGCUUCACAGGCCAACCAGCGGCGCAUGAAUGCAGACCCGUUGGAGGUGAUGCUGCUCAACAUGGGCUACCGGAUCACGGGCCUGAGCAGUGGGGGUGCCGGGGCCUCUGAUGAUGAGGACAGCUCUGAGGGCCAGGUGCAGUGCCGGCCCAGCUAGACCCUCCAGCCCUGGUCCCCAGCCCCUGCUACUGGCUGGACCCUCUGCCCUGGGCAGGAGGUCAGGGGAUUCUGUUUUGGUUUGUCUUCCCCACCACCCUUUUUUUUCAUUUCCCCUGUUUUGUUUGUUAGUUUGGCGUUAGGGGUGGAGGUUGCUACAACUUGCUGGCUUUCGGACUCUGGGCUGAUUGUCCCCUGACUAUCCCCAGCCCUGAAAAAAAGAGCAGGAGGGGACACCCCUCCAUAUGCACCCCCCAUCUCCUGCUUUCAUGUCCCUGGAGGGCUCUGGCCUGCCUCAAAACCCCUUCUGCCUCAGGUGGGGAGGAACAAGCUGAACUGUCUUCAGGGACUGUCCUGCCCUUUAGCUGGCAGCAGGAGGAGGAGUGGGAUUCCCAAUUGGUAAGGGCUCGCCUUGGCCUGUUGCCACUCUUGCUCCCUAGCCUGCAAGGCUAGCUCCCCUGUGGUCUUCAGGAAAGGUUUUGAAAAAGGAUGGGUCCCACCCUCCCUCCAGAGCCACCAGUGUUAGAGCGGAACCCAAAGGAAGGAUGGGAGCCCUGGAGUGGGCAAGACCAGGCCACCUGCUGAGGUCGCUGUGGAGCACCCUCGCUCCUCUCCUGGCUACUAGCUCUGGCCCUGCACCUACUCUCACUGGCCACCUCUGGAGGCUCUGCCUUUCCCAAGGGCCCUGGCAGAGGGUGGGGCACUGCACCUUACCCCACCCAUCCAUGCCAGCACUUCUGCACUACGGCCGUUCUCCUCUUGGGCGCUCCUCAGCCUCACUGUGACCUUUCUGCCAGAGCUCCCAGCCAGGCCUACUCUGCUGAGGUGGCGCUUCCUGCUAAGGGCCCUUCUCUGCCCUUUCUGCCCUCCUUCCCAUCCCACAUGCUGAGCCGCCACAAAGACCAAAGAAGUGAUGGCUUUUCUCUGUCCCCUGCUGCUCUGAGGGGAGAGGGGUGGGUCUCCUGAGCCACUCAGAUGGGAAAGUCCCUUACUCGGCCCCUCCCUCCCCAGCAGCCCCAAGCUUUACACUGGAUGCAGCGAUCAACCCACCACUCACCAGGCCUCUCCUCCCCUCUGCCCCCGGCUCUUAGCUCCAGCUGCUCCAGGUAGUUGGUUCAUCCUUCCCCCUCUCUCCCUCCCUGCUUCCCCUCAGUGCUUACUUGGCUCCAGCCCUCCAGCUGCAGCCCCUGGGGAAAAGCAGCCUCCCUUCUCCUCUCCCUCCACUCCCUCGCUCCCUCCCUCAGCCCCUGUCUCUGCCAGGUGCCUCCUCUCAGUCAGGCUUCAGAGCAGCCCUGGAGACAGGAGGGCCAUGUUAAAAGCUUUUUCACAGUUUUAAGAAGACAAGAGGAGGGUGAGGAUAGUGGUGGGGGGUCUGGCACCAUCUCAUUGCUUUAAUCCCAGCAACACAGGUGGCAGCUUCUCCCCCUUCCUUCCCACCCCAGUCCCUCUUCCCACCCCUCUCUUCUAGCUUGGUAAUGAAGUAUAUUUAUUGGUGAAGGAAACAGCUGCUGCUGCUUCUCCUGCUGCUGGGACCUGCUCCCCUGUCUCUUCUCCGUGACCUUUCUCUAGCCAGGGAGAAGGGAGAGCAGGAGUAUUGGGGCUGGGCCCUGGGGCCCAAGGACCAGCUGGGUCCCCUUUGCUUUCUUGUGUUCCAGCCACCUGCCAUUUCCUCCCUGCCUCCCACCCUCCCUCCCUGCCCCCUGUCCUGCUUCCCACCCCCUGCCUGCCCAGCCUGGGCCCUGCAGUGUGGAGAGACACAUAAGCCUUACUGUCCUCUGGGGGCAGGAGCCGAGCCUUUUUGUUGCUCCGCUCCCAGGAGAGUGAGGGUGACGCAAUUGAUUAAAACCAUUUUGUUCUAGGUGUGGCUGGUGGCAUUUGUGGGGUGCAGAUGGGUCUUGGAACCAAAGUGAGGGCACCUGGUCCCUCACCUCUGUAGCUCUAUGACUUAGUAACCACACCUCUACUGGACAGAAUGAGGCCUGCCUUGAAGGGUCACCGUGAGCAGCGGCCACCCAGCCCAGCAGGGCUGAGUGCAGAGCCCAGCUCUCAUGGCUGUGAUUUGUAAUCAUCAGCCUUCACUCUCUGGCUGUUUUCUCAUCAGUAAAAUAAGGGACUUGGAAUCUUAGUGGUUUUUCAAACCAUUUUACAUUGUGACCCAAUAUACACAUGAUUACUUGUAGAUAUGUGUGUGUGUAUAUAUAUAUAUAAAGAAAAUGAACAAAAGUUUUACACAAUAA